rnacentral:rRNA from 1 species
GAUCGAGUUUGAUCCUGGCUCAGAUUGAACGCUGGCGGAAUGCUUUACACAUGCAAGUCGAACGGUAGAGGGGGCAACCCCUUGAGAGUGGCGAACGGGUGAGUAAUGUAUCGGAACGUGCCCAGUCGUGGGGGAUAACGUAGUGAAAAUUACGCUAAUACCGCAUACGAUCUAUGGGUGAAAGCGGGGGACUCGCAAGAGCCUCGCGCGAUUGGAGCGGCCGAUGGCAGAUUAGGUAGUUGGUGGGGUAAAGGCCCACCAAGCCUGCGAUCUGUAGCUGGUCUGAGAGGACGACCAGCCACACUGGAACUGAGACACGGUCCAGACUCCGUACGGGAGGCAGCAGUGGGGAAUUUUGGACAAUGGGCGAAAGCCUGAUCCAGCAAUGCCCGCGUGCAGGAUGAACGGCCUUC